rnacentral:rRNA from 1 species
UACGUAGGGACCAAGCGUUGUUCGGAUUUACUGGGCGUAAAGGGCGCGUAGGCGGCGCGACAAGUUACUUGUGAAAUCUCUGGGCUUAACUCAGAACGGCCAAGUGAAACUGUUGUGCUAGAGUGCAGAAGGGGCAAUCGGAAUUCUCGGUGUAGCGGUGAAAUGCGUAGAUAUCGAGAGGAACACCAGAGGUGAAGACGGGUUGCUGGGCUGACACUGACGCUGAGGCGCGAAAGCCAGGGGAGCAAACGGG